rnacentral:rRNA from 1 species
UACCUGGUUGAUCCUGCCAGUAGUCAUAUGCUUGUCUCAAAGACUAAGCCAUGCAUGUCUAAGUAUAAGUAUUAUACAGCGAAACUGCGAAUGGCUCAUUAAAACAGCUAUAGUUUAUUUGAUAAUCUAACUACAUGGAUACCCGUAGUAAUUCUAGAGCUAAUACAUGCUGUACACCGAACUUCAUGGGGAGGUGGUAUUUAUUAGAUAACAACCAAUAUUCCGAAGGUCUAUCGUGGUGAAUCAUAAUAACUGAUCGAAUCGUAAAGCCUAUGGCGACGAUAAGUCAUUCAAGUUUCUGCCCCAUCAGCUUUAGAUGGUAGUGUAUUGGACUACCAUGGCAUUCACGGGUAACGGAGGAUUAGGGUUCGAUUCCGGAGAGGGAGCCUGAGAAACGGCUACCACAUCUAAGGAAGGCAGCAGGCGCGUAAAUUACCCAAUCCUGACUCAGGGAGGUAGUGACAAGAAAUAGCAAGAAGUACCUUGUGUAUUUCAUUGAAAUGAACCGAAUUUACACCACUUAGUGAGGAUCAAUUGGAGGGCAAGUCUGGUGCCAGCAGCCGCGGUAAUUCCAGCUCCAAUAGC